GGGGGCGUAGCUUAAUGGCAAAGUAAUAGUCUUAUGAUCUAUUGAUCCGGGUUCGAUUCCCGGCGCCUCCA